AGAACGAACGCUGGCGGCGUGGAUAAGACAUGCAAGUCGAACGGGACAACAUUUGUAGCAAUACAGGUGUUGUUUAGUGGCGAACGGGUGCGUAACACGUGGGCAAUCUGCCGAGAAGUGGGGGAUAGCUCGCCGAAAGGCGAAUUAAUACCGCAUAUGAUCAGGGACGACAUCUUCCCAACAUCAAAGCCGGGGUAACCUGGCGCUUCUUGAUGAGCCCGCGGCCUAUCAGCUAGUUGGUGAGGUAACGGCUCACCAAGGCUAUGACGGGUAGCUGGUCUGAGAGGACGACCAGUCACACUGGAACUGAGACACGGUCCAGACACCUACGGGUGGCAGCAGUCGAGAAUUUUCACAAUGGGGGCAACCCUGAUGGAGCGACGCGCGUGGAGGAUGAAGGCUUUCGGUGUAAACUCCUGUCAUUUGAGAACAAGUGUAGCUAAGUAACUACUGGCUACUUGAUAGUAUCAGAAGAGAAGAGACGCUAAC
rnacentral:rRNA from 1 species